rnacentral:rRNA from 1 species
UACAGAGGGUGCGAGCGUUGUCCGGAAUCACUGGGCGUAAAGGGCGCGUAGGUGGCCUGGUAAGUAGGGGGUGAAAUCUCGCGGCUCAACUGCGAGGCUGCCUCCUAAACUGUCAGGCUCGAGCAGAGUAGAGGCAGGUGGAAUUCCCGGUGUAGUGGUGAAAUGCGUAGAGAUCGGGAGGAACACCCGUGGCGAAGGCGGCCACCUGGGCCGACCCUGACGCUGAGGCGCGAAGGCGUGGGGAGCGAACGGG